rnacentral:rRNA from 1 species
UGCCAGACUCCUACGGGAGGCAGCAGUGAGGAAUAUUGGUCAAUGGCCGGGAGGCUGAACCAGCCAAGUCGCGUGAGGGAUGACGGCCCUACGGGUUGUAAACCUCUUUUGUCGGGGAGCAAAGAGAGUCACGUGUGGCUCAUUGAGAGUACCCGAAGAAAAAGCAUCGGCUAACUCCGUGCCAGCAGCCGCGGUAAUACGGAGGAUGCGAGCGUUAUCCGGAUUUAUUGGGUUUAAAGGGUGCGCAGGCGGAGGUGCAAGUCAGUGGUCAAAUUGCGGGGCUCAACCCCGUACUGCCGUUGAAACUGCAGCCCUUGAGUGCGCGAGAAGUAUGCGGAAUGCGUGGUGUAGCGGUGAAAUGCUUAGAUAUCGCGCAGAACCCCGAUUGCGAAGGCAGCGUACCGGCUCCACACUGACGCUGAGGCACGAAAGCGUGGGUAUCGAACAGGAUUAGAUACCCGCGUAG